GCUGAUGCCAUGGCACUCUAGCCCAGGCAACAGAGUGAGACUCUGCCUCAAAAUAAUAAAUAAAUACUUGGCCCGUGGUUUGUGAUUAAGAGUAAGCUCCAUGGAGUGUGAUUAAUCCAUUAAAUGGAUUAUAUUGUAUAUAAUCCACUAUAUUGUAAUGGAAAAAAUUCAGGAUUAGGAGGCAAGCAAUUUGGACUCCAAUCCUGAUGCUGCUACUGUGUAAGAAGUUUUGUAACCUAUGGGCAAAUCAUUUAACUUCUCUAAGCUUUCUCAUCUAUAAAGUUAGGAAGGGGAAUGAAUUAGUUGAUCUGUAAAAUAUCAGCUCUAAAAUUUUAUAACUAAAAAUUUUCAGAAUUUGUGCCCAAUUGCUAAACAAAUAGUGUGCCCAGAAUUUCUUUCUAGUGACUACCUUAACAUACAGGCCAAGUGUUGCCUACACCAACACCUAAGCCAUUAAUUUGAGGUGCCAUGAGAAUAGAAGGUGAACCUCAGGAUGACACCCUUUUAGGUUUCGUUCGUUUUUUUUUGUCUGUUUUUUUUCAGACUUGCCUCAAUUUAAAUCUCUAGAUUAGAGAGAUUUUUCUUAGACUUCAUUUUUUGUGGGGAAGGAUUAUUUGGGGGAUGUUUAAGAAAAAAUUAUGGCAGAGUACCGUUACCUUCAGUAGGGUAUAAAAGAAUGGGAUACACUUUUCCUUUCUUCCUUAAUCUCUGAAGUCACGGUUAAAAUGACAUACAAUGUAUCAGGUACUGGAAAGGACCUGAAUUUCAAGUCUCUGAUUUAGCUGUGUGUAAACUGCCAAUUUUUGCUUGACUAAAGAAUGCCAAUCGUUUUUGGGGAGUCUGAUCUGCUAAUAUAAGACAGUGCUUUUUACAUUCCAGAUUCUUUGAAUUAAACUGUUUAAAGAAUGUAUAUGGA